rnacentral:rRNA from 1 species
AUGAACGCUAGCGGCAGGCCUAAUACAUGCAAGUCGAGGGGCAGCGCGGUGUAGCAAUACACUGGCGGCGACCGGCAAACGGGUGCGGAACACGUACGCAACCUUCCUUUCAGCGGGAAUAGCCCAGAGAAAUUUGGAUUAAUACCCCGUAAGAUGGUGGUGAGGCAUCUCACGGCCAUAAAAGCUCCGGCACUGAGAGAUGGGCGUGCGUCUGAUUAGGUAGUUGGUGAGGUAACGGCUCACCAAGCCGACGAUCAGUAACUGGCGUGAGAGCGCGACCAGUCACACGGGCACUGAGACACGGGCCCGACUCCUACGGGAGGCAGCAGUAAGGAAUAUUGGUCAAUGGGCGCAAGCCUGAACCAGCCAUGCCGCGUGCAGGAAGAAGCAUCUAUGGUGUGUAAACUGCUUUUAUACAGGAAGAAACAACUCUACGUGUAGAGUCUUGACGGUACUGUAAGAAUAAGGACCGGCUAACUCCGUG